AAAUUGAAGAGGAUAUAACCAAAAAAAGGCGACGACCUAUUGAUCGUCAAGGUCCUAGUGCUACAUUACAUGUUGGAGGAUCUAGUCAUUCAAUAAAAUCAGAACCCUUGGAAUUCGGAGAGGCUAACGAAUUCCAAGUCUCUGAACUUGAAGCACUCGCAUUAGAAAUGCAGGGAUAUGGUAGAGCAAGAAAGGAUCAACAAGAAGAGUACACGAUAGAAGGGCUCGAGCAAUUUGGGAACACGGAUAAAGAACUUGAUGUGGGGUUUUGGGAAGAGCUAUUUAACG
rnacentral:misc_RNA from 1 species